GAGUUUGAUCAUGGCUCAGGAUGAACGCUAGCGGCAGGCUUAAUACAUGCAAGUCGAGGGGCAGCGCGGGGCAACCUGGCGGCGAGCGGCGAACGGGUGAGUAAUGCAUCGGAACAUGUCCAUGUCGUGGGGGAUAGCCCGGCGAAAGCCGGAUUAAUACCGCAUACGCCCGAGAGGGGAAAGUGGGGGACCGCAAGGCCUCACGCGAUUGGGUUGGCCGAUGUCCGAUUAGCUAGUUGGCGGGGUAAGAGCCCACCAAGGCGAUGAUCGGUAGCUGGUCUGAGAGGAUGAUCAGCCACACUGGGACUGAGACACGGCCCAGACUCCUACGGGAGGCAGCAGUGGGGAAUUUUGGACAAUGGGGGCAACCCUGAUCCAGCCAUUCCGCGUGAGUGAAGAAGGCC
rnacentral:rRNA from 1 species